rnacentral:rRNA from 1 species
AUUGAACGCUGGCGGCAUGCCUUACACAUGCAAGUCGAACGGUAACAGGUCUUCGGAUGCUGACGAGUGGCGAACGGGUGAGUAAUACAUCGGAACGUGCCCGAUCGUGGGGGAUAACGAAGCGAAAGCUUUGCUAAUACCGCAUAAGAUCUAAGGAUGAAAGCAGGGGACCGCAAGGCCUUGCGCGAACGGAGCGGCCGAUGGCGGAUUAGGUAGGUGGUGGGAUAAAAGCUUACCAAGCCGACGAUCUGUAGCUGGUCUGAGAGGACGACCAGCCACACUGGGACUGAGACACGGCCCAGACUCCUACGGGAGGCAGCAGUGGGGAAGUUUGGACAAUGGGCGAAAGCCUGAUCCAGCCAUGCCGCGUGCAGGAUGAAGGCCUUCGGGUUGUAAACUGCUUUUGUACGGAACGAAAAGACUCUUUCUAAUAAAGAGGGUCCAUGACGGUACCGUAAGAAUAAGCACCGGCUAACUACGUGCCAGCCGCCGCAGUAA